GCAUAUCAAUAAGCGGAGGAAAAGAAACCAACAGGGAUUGCCUCAGUAACGGCGAGUGAAGCGGCAACAGCUCAAAUUUGAAAUCUGGCCCCCAGGGUCCGAGUUGUAAUUUGUAGAGGAUGCUUUUGGUGAGGUGCCUUCCGAGUUCCCUGGAACGGGACGCCAUAGAGGGUGAGAGCCCCGUCUGGUUGGAUACCGAGCCUCUGUAAAGCUCCUUCGACGAGUCGAGUAGUUUGGGAAUGCUGCUCUAAAUGGGAGGUAUAUGUCUUCUAAAGCUAAAUAUUGGCCAGAGACCGAUAGCGCACAAGUAGAGUGAUCGAAAGAUGAAAAGCACUUUGAAAAGAGGGUUAAAAAGUACGUGAAAUUGUUGAAAGGGAAGCGCUCAUGACCAGACUUGGGCUUGGCGAAUCAUCCAGCGUUCUCGCUGGUGCACUUCGCCUCGUUCAGGCCAGCAUCAGUUCGUCCCGGGGGAUAAAAGCUUCGGGAACGUGGCUGCUUCGGCAGUGUUAUAGCCCGCUGUAUAAUACCCUGGGGUGGACUGAGGUUCGCGCUCCGCAAGGAUGCUGGCGUAAUGGUCAUCAGCGACCCGUCUUGAAACACGGACCAAGGAGUCGUCUUCGUAUGCGAGUGUUCGGGUGUCAAACCCCUACGCGUAAUGAAAGUGAACGCAGGUGAGAGCUUCGGCGCAUCAUCGACCGAUCCUGAUGUUCUCGGAUGGAUUUGAGUAAGAGCAUACGGGGCCGGACCCGAAAGAAGGUGAACUAUGCCUGUAUAGGGUGAAGCCAGAGGAAACUCUGGUGGAGGCUCGCAGCGGUUCUGACGUGCAAAUCGAUCGUCAAAUAUGGGCAUGGGGGCGAAAGACUAAUCGA
rnacentral:rRNA from 1 species